ACAGAGAGUACCAUAAUGGCUGUGGUUAACAGAUGUCUGAAGGUCCUCUUCAUUGGAAUAAACAUCAUACACAUAAUUUUAGCUGGUGUGAUUUUUACACUAGCUAUUAUGCUGGGCACUUACAUAACAAAUCAGUUUCAGGGCCAGGGACAAGAUGCGGGGCUUGGACUGAUACAAGCACCAAUCUGGCUACUGGGUUCAGGAGUCUUGGUGGUGGCUAGCCUUGGUAUCCAUGGUGCCAGAUAAGAGAAGAAGUGGCCCCUGAUCUCGGUGAGGAUAAUACAUUCACAUUUGCAUAUUGAUUUAGUAUCAUCAUCAUCAUCAUCAUCAUUAUCAUCCCAACAAAUGGAUUUCCUGCUACAAAUUUGUAUUCUACAUUGAAGAUGUGAAAUAAAUAUGCACAAUCUGUUGGUCAACCCUUG
ensembl:lncRNA